CGCAUUCAUUCAUUCAUUCAUUCAUUCAUUCAUUCAUUCAUUCAUUGACAGACUAUGACAAUAGACUUUCACUAUACUUUCUGCACGAUAAUUUAAUGCAUGUAAUCCCGCCACAAAUUGUCUGUACUAUAUAUACUGUCUACCCGUAAAAAUACGGGUAUUCACACUUACUCAGCACAUUAGAGCUGCGGGAUCUAUAACUUUUUCCCUAUUUUCAGUGUGAAUAAAAUAUUGGAAAGCUUAUACUAGUCACUUAUCAGCCCAAAUAGAAUAAAACCAUGUGGCCAAAUGACCCUGUGACAAAAUGGAGGUUCCACCGAGAUUAAAGCAAUCCAUUUUCACGUUGUACACCAAACCAUUACAAUAACAGUCCGUUGUCAGAGAUUAUAGAGAGCCAUAAAGAAAACUGGUUAUCUGGUUAUAGCCUGUCAACGACAAAUUUCCUCCAAAUUCCUGUUAGCAGUUUAAGGCAGUUUAUAUACGAAAACUACGAAAACCGUUUGACGGAGAAUUAUUAAUGCCGGCUUGAACUUAUAUUUUAUGGAGGGUAAUAUUUCAAACAUGCUUCGUGUGACAAGAAUAUAACUACUAUAGCACAGCACUCAGAAAAUACCUGCACGAUCGUAAAAUUCUUUUGCACUUUGACCUUUGACAUGUAAAGGG